UAUAAGUAUCUCUCGAUCGAAGCCACCAACUUACACCCGCCUAAAGCCAAUAUAAGUAUCUCCAGGCCGAAGCCACCAACCUACGCUUGACUAAAGCCAAAAUAAUUAUCAUUGCCUAUAGGCAGAACAAUGACCACUAGAUACGCACAAGAAACAUUGAAUAUAAUGUUUCCAACAUAAGUACAUAUAUAAUAUCUCAAAAACAUCUUCAUAGUCUAUAGUCAUCCAUCAUAUAUACUACAAAGAGUGUAAAAACAUGUUCAUAAAUAGUAUAUAGUCAUCCAUCAUAUAUACUACCAAGAAUAUAAAUUCAAUAAAGUAUGGUAUUCCAAAAUAUUCUCUGUAAAGCAUGAUAAUCAUAAAGUGUAACUCUAAUUUCCUCAUACAACGUAACCAUUAAAUUAUGUUUUUCAUGUAUGCAUUUCUACUAUUAAAACAUGCAUUUUAGAAGGGGUUCACUCACAGAUACUUCGACAUCGAGGAGUCAUGUGAAAUAGGAAGGACGGAAUCACCGCUAAUAAUCGCACCUAAGUACAUAAAGGGUCCAAUUAAUAAAACUCUAUCAUAAUGAUUGAAUUUUGGAAAAUGGAUGUCAUAAACGGAUUCAAGACGUCGAAAAACAUAAAGGGGGAUCUCAGGUACCCCCAUGCAUCGCCGCAAGGUGGCAGCUCUGGCGGCCACGCGCCGCAGUGGGUCACCGGAAAGUUGGUCGAAAAAUUCGUCAUCCGCGGUGGCGCAUGUACUCUAUGCGCCAGCAAUGGCUUGGCCUCACGUGUGCCCACUCACG
rnacentral:lncRNA from 1 species